GCUUCGCCCGCAGCCGCUGCUACCCUCGCAAUUCUGUCGUUCUCCAGGCAUUGAGAUAAAGGAAUUCCAAAAACCAAACCUCCGGCCGAUUCUGUGGGAUGAAAUAACGACGAACAUUGUCAAAAAUUUUCCAGGGACCCCAACAGAGUUUUUCCUCCCUUAUCCGACGCGUUUACUUCUCCGACAAACCGACGAAAGUACUACGCUCAACUUCGGAUCGUCGUGCCAAGAUCACGUAAUCUACGAAUACCUGAGCCUCGAGUGAAAUUAUAUACAUCUUUGGGAAUCGCUGGUUGUUGCAUUGGUCAUUGGAAAAGUAGAGAAAGUUCGAUCCAGAAAUCGUAGAAAUAAUCGGAGACAAGAAAAUGGUAGCUUAUCGCAAUGGCAUAUCAGGCGAAGGAAAUAUUUCAUACAAUGUGUGUUGUAUUUAUACAGAAAAUAUCGUUGGCUGCGAGGAUAUAACACGUACCGAUCACGUAUACACCUAUGCGCCGAGAUUCAGAAUUGAAAUAACAACCGCUAGAAGAAGAAGA
rnacentral:lncRNA from 1 species